rnacentral:lncRNA from 1 species
CCUUUUCAUCUGGGAAACUGAACGCCUCCUUUGACGAAUUCCAGCUACUGAUCUUCAUUCUCCACACCGACGAAGCAUAGAAAACAUCAGUUACGUAGCUCAACUAUCGGUAUCAGAAAAGACGCUGGGCUAAUUUCAUCAUAGGCGACCUCAAAUCUCUUACACAUGUGUUGUGACAUAUGACCCAACGGGAACAUUCCUUGUCAAUCUCAUUGCCAACCGAAUACUAUGUAGGAGGUAACUUCCAUCCUUUUUGUGUAGAUAAUCAAAUCGGAAAUUCUUAGAACAUUGACGCAAAACUUUUUUAACCAAGCUAUUUACUAUAUCACUUUUGAUAGAAUGAGAUUCUGAAGAUGCUGAUACCACACAUCAAAAGUUGCACAGUGAACAACCAGAUCUAAAAGUUCUGCAAUUUUUCAGGUAAACAUACUAUAUACCUUCUCAAGACCAUUGAAUUAGUCCGGUUCUCAAGCCUUCAAGUAGUUGUAUCUAAAACUAGGGGUUUGUUGUUUAUAUAAGAGAAUCAAUUUUGAACUUCUUGUGGUAGUUGUUGCAAUGAAUUAUAGCUUAUAGCACCCACACAACAAGUAAUAAAAUCGGCAAUUUUAUUGCCUUCUCGUAGUACAUGAUGCACUGUACUAACGCCUUUUGCCCUCCAAAACCUUAUCCUGUCAAUCUUCAUCCUUAACUUCGAAGGAGUAUUCCAUGUACCCUCCACCAUAUUCAACAAAACUAAUGAAUCUGUCUCCAAUCGUACAGGAACAAAAUUGUUCCUCGUGCAAUAGUCAAUCACAUUCCCCAAAUCCACUCUUCUACGUAUAAAUUAGUGUUAACUUCAAUUCUUAUAACAUAGCAUAAAUAAACUCCCCUUCAUCACUUCUCAUGCAAAAACCUAAUGAACUUGGGUCUGGGUUACCUUUAGAGGCCCCAUCCGAAUUGCAUUUAAACCAUCCCUGUAGAGGAAACUCCUACUUAACCAAUCUAAAAUGAAGAACUCGCAUAUAUUCUUCGAAGUACUGCACCAUUUGUGGCCAGUUAAUUGGUAUAUCCUUCAGCCGAGGAUAUGUCACAUUUGCAAGCAUAUGAAGAAUGUGGCUAAUAUCACUUACAACUCAAUUAUUUGUCAUAAAUCCUCCAUUAGUAACCACAUUUCUUCUUCUCAUUAAAUGCCACAAAAUGAUUUAAGGAGCAGAUUGAUACAAUGACAUAAGUUUUUCCCCACAUUCAGCCUUCCACCAUUCUGUAAUAGCCUGAUUGACCUGUAUAAAAGGGCCUAACAACCCUACAGCCAUAGUAAAGUUUCUCCAAAUACUUUGUGCAACUUCACCAGUUAAAAAAAUGUGUGACAGUCUCUUCUUGAAAUUGUCGACAACAUCUACACCUAGACUCCCCAUGAUGCCACAAUGUCAUCUAUUGGUAGCUUUAGAUUCCACAACCUCCAAAUAAAAAAGAAAAUUUUCAUAGGAAGACCUUUUACCCAAAAUUUCUUCCAAAACCAUCUUUUCUGCUUUUUUGGUCUCUGAAUUUCCCUAAAAUUUCCUUUAGUAGAUGGCAUCCACCAUGCUCUAUCUUUGUCUUCCAAGCUCUCUCAUAUCAUGAGAUUCUUUGUCACAUGUUCAGCAAUUUGAUUAGGCAAAUGUUGAUGUAGACUUUCCUAAUUUUAUUUUUCAUUAUCCAUAAAAAAAUUUACCUCCUUGUUUAGAAAAACAUAAUUUCAACCAAGAAGCCCAGAUUAGAUCUGCCCUCUUCCAAGUUGCUUCAAAAGAAUUUUGAAAAAUCUUGUGCAACUCAUUCAAAGCGCAUUUAGUAAGAGCUAAAGUUGAUAAAAGAUAUAUAGGCAUGUUUUGCAACACAUUUCUAAUCAAAACAACUUUGCCACCAAAGGAUAAUAACUUACUCUUUCAGUUCUGCAACUUUCCUUUUACCUUUUUGAUGAUUUCAUUAUAGAAUAUCUUCUCUUUCUUCAAUAAAAUAUUGGGCAGCCUAAAUAUAUGAAUGGGAACACACCUUUUUCCAUUCCUAUGACUAAUCCCACCUGCUGCACCUUUUUCGGGGUGGCCCAGUGGUUUGGGCUUGGGACUUCCAUGUUGGAGGUCUCAAGUUCGAAACCCCUUGCCAGCGAAAGCAAGGGGUUUGCCUUCUGGGUCGAGCUCGUCGCACUGGGCUUGCCUAGUGCGGGUUACCUCUCCUAUGUGGUUUGCGAGCUAUUGCAUAGGAGCGGGGGUUUUAUCAUGUGCGCACCCAAAGGGUAGCGGCUGUGGGUUUUCCUUGUCAUAAAAAAAAUAUCAUGUUAAUUUAGCAUUUAAUUCUAAAUAGAUUUUUUUAAAACAGAGAAAAUACAUUUAUGUUUUGAGAUUGUUUAAAUUUUUUCACUAAACUGAUAAAAAUAACAAAAAUACUUGUUCCUAUAAGUUAUUGUGCAUGAAAAAAGAGAACCAAAAACACAUUUAUAUCAUGCUAAAAAAAUUAUGUUCAUUAAGACAAAUUAUGCAUAUGUAGAACUUCAUGUAAUAGUGAGACAUGCUUCUUAGCUCUAAUUUUUAUGUAUGAGUGAUAAAUAAAAAAUAUUAAUAAAAGAAGUCUUGUGAAAUAAAAAGUAAGCACUUUAAUCUUUGUUGAUCAACUGACCUGAGAUCUCCUCAUAUUUCCUCGGCACUUCCAUAACAAGAUCAAGAGAUACUUUAUCUGUUAAGGUGAAUAUUAUAGUGUCAUCUGCAUAAGUCAAAUGAUUUAGCUUCUCACUCCAUCUUGGUAAGCCAUAUCCCUUAUACAAACUAUUGUCAAACAAGGCAUUCAGUGAUGUGAUCUGGACAACACUUUUGCGGUUAGUAAAGACAGAGUUGGGGAUAAGGGAUCUCCUUGCUUCACUCCCCUAGUAGAGUAAAAAAAAUCCAUGACUUUGCCCAUUAAAAAUAAUAGAGUACCAGGUCUUUGCUAUUAAUCUUCAUACCAUGACAGUAAAAAUCUCACUGAAACCCAUCUUUCUUAGCACAUUAGAUAAAUAUAGUCAGGAUACCCUAUCAUAAAUCAUGGUCAUAUCUAGUUUGAUAACAACAUUAGAAGCUUACCUCUUUUUCUUAUAUCAGUCAAAAUCCCUUGAGUUAGCAACACAUUCUGAAUUAUGCAUCUUCCUUUUUGAAAAUUCAUCUUGAGUAGGAGAUAUGAACUUGGUUAGAAUGUCUUUUAUUCUUCCAUGUACCACUCUAGAGAUGGUCUUAUUAAUCAAAUUUUUUAGGCUUAUAGGCCUUAAUCUGAAAAUGAAUUGACCAACUCCCUUUUACGUAGCAGUACCAGAUUUGUAUGUGUGAUCGACUUGGGCAAGGUAUCACUAUUAAAAAGGCCUUUACUAUCCUAUAAACAUCAUAACCAACAAUGUCCCAACAUGAUUGAAAGAAAUUGACGUUCAAGCCAUCAGGUCCACUUGCACUUGAUCCCUCCAAUUGGAAAAUAGAUUAUUUUUCACCACCUCCAUUAGUGGUAUCAUUAGAAACUUCUCAUUAUCCCCUGAUUUACCAAAUUUGGUAUACAUUCUAAUAAAGAAAAAUCAGAUUCUUCUUCACCUAGUGUAAAUUGAUUUUUAUAACAACUUAUUGCCUCUUCAACCAUUUGAUCCUCUCUUUCAAGCCAUACUCCUUCUGCAUUUUAAAUUCUCUUGAUUUGAAGUCUUUUUCUUCUCCCAUUUACUAGACUAUGAAAAAAUACGCAAAUCAUGUAAUUUCAGCUUUCUGUCUCCAAAACUCCUCUUCAUAGUGAACAUACUUUUUCAUUUCCGCAUGAGCAUGUUGUAGAAUCAUUCUAUUAGCUGUUGUAGGCUCUUCCUCAAAGUUUUGUUCUUUAAUUCUGACUACUUCUUCUCUGAUUAUUAGUUGCUUGAAAAUAUCCCCAAAAGUGUUUCUACUCCACUGAUUCAAUGCAACUUUUAUCUUGUUCACCUUGUGCUUGAAAAUUUAAAAAGGAUGCCCUUCAAAAUCAACGGUCUAAUUGGGCAACUAUAUUUUAAAAUUCAGAAUGUUCUAUCCAAAAAUUUAAAGUUUUUUUAACUGUCUGAUUAUUAUUUGAUUUGUUUGGUCAUCUCUCUUAUUCUCCUUAAGAGAGUGAGCUAUACUCCCUAUGCCACAUCGCUAAAAAUAGUAAAAACUACUUGAAUUUUGUAGUGUUAAGAGUUAAUUACAUCUUAUUUCUAUUCGUUUUCAAAUUAAAAAAAUCCCCAAAAAUAUAAGAAUUUCGAAUAUAUCACUCAACGUCUCGAUACAUCGUGUUCCGGUACAUCGCGUAAAAGUGAUGUAUCCAAGAAUCUAAGAGAGAGUGAGGAAAAUAUGAUUUUUUGUAAUUCUUUCAAAUGGUAGGAAAUUUUAAAGAAUAUGAUAGGAAAUUUAAAAAAAUAUAGUAAAAUAAGAAUUUUGUAAUUGAAAUUAAAUAUUAAAUUCUUGAAAGUUAAAAGAGUAAAGAAAUUGAGACGAAAAAUAUUUAUAGAUUAAUGGGGAGUAAAAAAUACUUAAAAAUUAAAAAUAUGAGAUUAGAUUUUAGAUUAUUAUUUUUUGUUGUUAGUGGGCCCACAACGGUCAAAAAAUUGACAAACAAAUUCUCGAAAAGUUCGUGCCUCCAAUGGAUAUUCCGUUAGUCUUGGACCAGUUCGAUCUGGGCUUCUACUGAUUUGGGCCAAUUUUGGAUCGAUCCGAUCUGAUCCGAUUGACACACUUAGUUUGAAUUAUAUAAAUGACCAUCAAAAGGCAAACUAUUUAACUACAAAACGAAAAAUUAAAAUUACUUAUUUGUGUGAGAGUUCUUGAGUUCUUUCAAGUAUGUUUAAUUUUCAGUUUCUUUAUCUUUUUGGGCCACCAGUUACACUUGUGAAGUAAUCUAUGUGCGACAUGUGAGUUUCUAUGCGCUUUCAUAUGAAAUCAUUUUUUAGUCCUUUACAAAAAAAAAAUUAAUUUUAUGUCCUUUUAUAAAAAUAUCUUCAUUUUUCUAUACAUAAGUGAUCUGAAAAGAAUAUUUUCUUUUAUUCAAAUCCUAAGAAGACAAGAGAUCUCAUUUUGUUGUUUCCUUGUAUGCUUCUACAAACACAUUUUAAGACUUAUAUAUGGGCAGAUUCUAUUUCUUUAAGUCUGUUUUUGUUUGAGCAUUUUAUUUUUUUUAACUAUAUGAAAUUCAUACAGAGAAGUAGUAGAAAUUGCACAGAUUUAAGUUUUAAAAUGUGUUUGUAGAAGCAUACAAGAAAACAACAAAAUGAGACUUCUUGUCUCCUUACGAUUUGAAUAAAAGAAAAUAUUCUUUUUAGAUCACUUAUGUGUAGAAAAAUGAAGAUAUCUUAUAAAAGAACAUAAAACUUAAAAAAAUUGUAAAUGACUAAAAAAUGAUUUCAUAUGAUGAAAGUGCAUAGAAACUCACAGGUCACACAUAGAUUACUUCACAAAUGUAAUUGGUGGCCCAAAAAAGAUAAAGAAACUGAAAAUUAAACAUACUUGAAAGAGGAACUCAAGAACUCUCACACAAAUCAGUAAUUUUAAUUUUUCGUCUUGUUGUUAAAUAUUUUGCCUUUUGAUGGUCAUUUAUAUAAUUCAAACUAAAGGUGUGAAUCGGACGGGAUCAGGUCGAUCCAAAAUUGGCCCAAAUCAGUAGAAGCCCAGAUCAAACUGGUCCACUACUAAAGAAAUAGGAAAAAUUAUCCGUCGAAGGCACGAACUUUUAGAGAAUCUCUUUGUCAAUUUUUUGACCGUUGUGGGGCCCACUAACAGCUAAAAAAAAUCUAAAAUCUAAUCUAAUAUUUUUAACUUUUAAGUUUUUUCCAAAAAAAAAAACCGCCCCAUUAAUCUAUAAAAAAAAUUCCUCUCAAUUUCUUUACUCUUUUAACUUUUAAGAAUUUAAUAUUUAAUUUCAACUUACUCAAAACUAUUUAAUUAUCAUUUCUCUAUGAUAUCAUUUAUUAGUUACUCCAUUACUUAUUUUUAUUGGUUAUUAAUUUAUUAUUUUUCUUAAAGUGCUAUUAAGAUUAUUAUUAUUAUUAUAAUAUUACUUAUAUAACUUAUUACUAUUAGUUAUUAGUUUAUUGUUUCUGUGAAAAUGUUAGCAAGAUUAUUAUUACAGUAUUACUUUUCAGUUAUUACUUAUUAGUUACUCCCUCCAUUUCAUAUUAGUUGAAUUUUUGAGGCAUUUUUCAUUUUUCAAAUUAACUUAAUUGUUCAAUCUUCAAGACUAUUUUUAAAAUAUUCUUCCAAUUUUAUCCUUCAUGUGGAUUUUCAAUGUGAUGAUUUCAAUAAAUUUGAUAAUAAUAAAUAAGGGUAAAAAUGGAAAACUAUGUUCAAUUUAUGUCUUAAUCUACUUUUCUUAAAGGGUGUGAAAUACUUCAAAAAUUCAACUAAUAUGGAAUGGAGGGAGUAUUAUUAUUCAUUAAUACUUAAUACUUAUUGGUUAAUAGUUAUUACUUUAUUAUUAUUAUUUUUAUUUAUUAGGUAACUCCAUGAUCAAAAGGAUCAAGGAUUAAAUAUUAUUAUUAGCUAAUCAAGUGAUAUUAUGUUACCAUUCGAAUCAAGUAUUUAUUCUUUUGCGAAAAUUUGAUAUACUCGUUUCAUUUAUUUCUAUUUUUUUAGUAUUUUAUAUUUAAUUUUAGUUAUUUUAAUUAAACUAGCACAAUGAAUUUGAUGCAAAAAAGCUGAAAAGUUUGUUUGAGGUUGUAACGACCGGGUUCCGUCGUUAUAGAAAAGCCAAUGGGGGAAAAUUUGGGGACGGAAAACCUUUUCAUAGUAUUUGGAUUUUUUCCAACUUAGUCCAGAUUUGGACGAAAUCGGAGUCAUUAAGGUGUAGGGAAAUCUGGCAUUAAUCGGGUGAUUUAUUUAUAAUUUUGAUUACAUGAGGGGAUAGAUAACUCAUUAAGGAAUCCAUACGACUUUACGGAAUUGAAUGCAAGCCACUUUGGCGCUGGGUUUUGUCCCUCUGGCGGGGUAAGGGUCGCCGUGGCGGGCUAGAUGCGACUGAAAGUCGUAAAUAAACCCCUAAACGACUUAUUUUUGCACUUUUCAAUUUUUAAAGCUAAGGAACGAACCCAGGAGACUCUUGAGAGUUUUCCACCAUUCUUGAGGCUAAAGGUAAGAUUUUCACUCCCCGAAUCUGUUUUUCGAUCCGUAGAGCGUAAUAGAAUGGGUAAUUAUCGAUGGGGGAAGGUUUUGAAUUAAAAACCAUGAUGGAAAAAGUCCUAAUUUGGAUACUUGGGAUCAUAGGUAUGAUCUAGGUGCCAAGCCCCAAAAUCUAGGGGCGCAACUGGCUCCUAAUGCCAGAACUCAGGCCCGAGUCGACCCUCCUGAACCAUUUGCUACUAGCGCAUGGCAGCCACACGCAAUCAAGAAAAUAAACAAGUAUAUCUCGGCUUAAAACUAUGACAUCGGCCAGUAAGGCCCCUGUCAACAGAUCUAUAAAAGAAAUAUCUAUUCCCAAGAGUUUAUAUAAAAAAAUAGCCAACUAGCACAGAAGUCCAGAUUGGACCGUCGAGGCCACCACGAUCUCUAUACCAAAACUGAAAGCAGGUAUAUAUCAAGACAAUACAUCAAAUAGCUCACAAGCUUCAGCAAACCAACAAACUAGGCCAGCAUGGUCAUAACGUAGCUAUACACCACACACACUAGUCUGCAAGCCUCUAAGAGUAGAAAAGAUUGGCAGGACAGGGCCCAGCCUACCCAUAAAAAUAUCUGCAACAAAAGCUAACAAACCUCCCAACUCUGGCAACUCCGGAGGAAAGGGGUUAGCCAACCAGAUAGAAGUCAAUCUUGCUGAUGAGGAGGUCUACUGGGUCGUCUGUUGGGACCUGCAUGCAGCACCCUCAGGCAAUAGGGCAUCAGUACAAAAUAAUGUACAGAGUAUGAAAGGCUAUAGACUAAAUGAGCAAGUAUCAUAAUAUACCAAAAGCAAUUAGGUAAGGAAAUCAAUAUUUAGCUAAGCAUGCUAACCCACUACUAGAUCUAAAAAAAUACAAAAAUGAUCAAACAUCAACCUAACCAAGCCCCCAUAAGCUCGGUAGGUACAAACAAUAUACCACCUACCUAGGCUCCCGUAAGCCCAGAAGGUGCCAAAUCAAUCUACAUAACCCUAUCGGUAGCCCCUUGUCUUUGUAAGAAGUCACAUAGCCCUUUUUGGCAAUGAUAUAUCCCCGUAGGCAGCGCAUGACCCUCUUAGGCAACAACAUAGCUCUGUGGGCUGCACAUAACCCUCUUUUGCAUCAACAUAGCCCUGUAGGCAACACAUAGCCCUCUUUGGCGUCAAAAUUGCCUCAUAGGGAACACAUAACACUCUUUGGCAUCAAUACAACCCCAUAGAAAACACAUAGCCCUCUUAGGCAAUAACAUAGUCCUAUUAGACAACAUCAUAGCCCCAUAGGCAGUUCAUAGCUCAACCGCUAACCACAAUAGCCCCAAGGGCGACAACAAACAAUUGAAUAAGCUAAAGGUGAGCAAUUUAGCUAUAUAUAUAUAUAUAUAUAUAUAGUUUCCAAGUCAUUCCUAACUUAGGGUCAUUCUUAACAGAUUAUGAGUCCCUAUAAUAGGGGUUUAUAACCACUCAAUCAGCCAACCACUCACAAUUACAUCUACAAGAUCACCAACAUUAACUACCAUACUAUAUCAUUCCCAAGCUCUAAGGAAAUAUGCCGAACGAAGGGAAUAGCCUUAACAUACCUUUUCCUUUAUAAUCUAUGCUUAAAAUACCUCUGUCCGCACCACUACAACACUAAAUAAAAAGGUAAAAUCAAUUAGUAAUUAAGGAUAAAAAAUACUACGACAAUUCGACAAUCAAUACGGAUUCCUAUCGUAAAUUACUAUCCAAUACCUAAGGUAUCCGUAAACUGCUAAAAAUAUGGUUCAUACCUUUCUUUACACGCCCAUAUCACUUGAAUAAAUCAAAACACUAAAUAAAUGCCUGCUGCCACAACCUCCACGGAUCUACACCGCUCAAUUCACCGUGAAAAUUAUACCAAAACGACGAGCUCGCGACGUAGGGCAAUUUUUUAUAAGGAGCCAAGAAGAGAUCAUGAACAUACAAAGAUGAUUUGAGGAAUAAUUCUCUGAUUUUCGUGGGUUUCUUAUGAGUUGGAAUGAAGAAAAAUGAAGAAGAUGUUAUCUUAUAAGCUUCCACCGACCUAGGGGACCCACCUCACAUGCCUGCUUGCGCAGUCUUGCAAAAAUGUGAAUAUCUCUUUAUUGUGAAAUCUUAGGAACAAACGAUUUGAUGUGUUGUAAACUAGACUCAUAGCCCUUCGAUUCGAUAGGUCGUGGACCCCAUAACUCUUUAUAGAUUGAGAGAAAACCUCUGAGACAUUUGACCCAAAUUUCAGAGAAAUAUUUAAAAAGGAACUUAUGAUAACUUUCGCCAACUUUUAUUUUGCGACUUACCUAACUUCAACACUUAAAAUAUGACAUACCACAACAUUCUUAAUUUAUUACUCACCCUUUUUGUCUUUCCACGAAGGUACGAGUUAAUUUAGAUGUUUCGAAAAGUCGGGGUGUUACAUCCUUACCCCCUUAGAAACAUUCGUCCUCGAAUGAAAAAUCUGAGUCACGUGGUUAAGUCCUUAGGAGUUGGCCAAAAUUUAGGCAAGUAUCCUUUGUAAAUGUGACUAUCCAGGAACCUGAAACACAGAAAUUCUAACUUAGGCAUCUUACAUGACGACAUAAAUAGCUAAGCAUUAUAGCUCUGCAAUAACAGUGCGAGCAAAAUACAACGACAACAACCAUAAUAAUAAGCAAUAAUAUAAAAAUCAGAUAGGUAUCCUAUCUCACUGCACUAAUAUAAACUAAUAUGCCAUCACCUUGGGUAUGAAACAAGUGAGGAUAUUUGGACCUCAUGCCAUCCUCAGCUUCCCAGGUCACCUAUUCUCUAUUCUUGUUUCUCCACAAUACUUUAACUAAAGCCACCUCUUUGGUCCUCAAUUUACGGACCUGUCGAUCUAAUAUGGCAACUUGAGUUUCCUCGUAGGGACAACUCCUUUGUGAUCUGAACAUCCUCAACUGGGACAACCCGGGAAGGGUCUCCUAUGCACUUCCGUAGCAUCGAUACAUGGAAAACUGGAUGACCAGAUUCUAUCCCUGAAGGCAAUUCUAACUCAUAAGCCACUCAUCCUACCCUCCGAAGGAUCUGGUAUGGCCCAAUGAAUUUUGGACUAAGCUUUCCUUUCUUGCCAAAUCUCAUAACACCUUUCAUAGACGAGACUUUAAAGAACACCAGUCAUCGUUAGGCAUCUUACAUGACGACAUAAAUAGCUAAGCAUUAUAGCUCUGCAAUAACAGUGCGAGCAAAAUACAACGACAACAACCAUAAUAAUAAGCAAUAAUAUAAAAAAUCAGAUAGGUAUCCUAUCUCACUGCACUAAUAUAAACUAAUAUGCCAUCACCUUGGGGUAUGAAACAAGUGAGGAUAUUUGGACCUCAUGCCAUCCUCAGCUUCCCAGGUCACCUAUUCUCUAUUCUUGUUUCUCCACAAUACUUUAACUAAAGCCACCUCUUUGGUCCUCAAUUUACGGACCUGUCGAUCUAAUAUGGCAACUUGAGUUUCCUCGUAGGACAACUCCUUUGUGAUCUGAACAUCCUCAACUGGGACAACCCGGGAAGGGUCUCCUAUGCACUUCCGUAGCAUCGAUACAUGGAAAACUGGAUGACCAGAUUCUAUCCCUGAAGGCAAUUCUAACUCAUAAGCCACUCAUCCUACCCUCCGAAGGAUCUGGUAUGGCCCAAUGAAUUUUGGACUAAGCUUUCCUUUCUUGCCAAAUCUCAUAACACCUUUCAUAGACGAGACUUUAAAGAACACCAGUCAUCGACACAAAACUCUAAGUCCCUUCGUCGCACAUCUGAGUAUGACUUCUGUCGGCUUUGAGAUAUUAGCAACCUCUCCCGAAUGAUCUUAACCUGCUCCACUGUCUGUUGUACUAAAUCAGGUCCAAUCAACCCUGACUCACCUACCUCAAACCAUCCAAUGGGGGAUAACAUUUUAGACCAUACAAAACCUCAUAAGGUGCCAUCCCGAUGCUAGAAUGAUAACUAUUAUUGUAUGCGAACACAAUAAGAGGUAAGUGGUCAUCCUAACUUCCAUUAAAGUCCAGCAUGCAUGCCCGUAGCAUGUCCUCAAGUGUUAAAAUGGUGCGUUCAGCUUGGCUAUCUGUCUGAGGGUGAAAGGCGGUACUGAGAUUAACUUGCGUCCCUAAUCCUUUCUGGAAAGACUUCCAAAAGUUAGCAGUAAAUUAUGCUCCUCUAUCCGAGAUAAUAGAUAUUGGGACGCCGUGCAACCAAACAAUCUCUCGGAUGUAAAGCCCUGCAUAAUCUUCAGCUGUGAAAGUAGUCUUGACUAGUAAGAAGUGGGUUGAUUUUGUUAGUCUGUCAACAAUUACCCAAAUAGAGUCAAACUUACGACGUGAUCGAGCUAACCCUAUAAUAAAGUCCAUAUUAAUUGCUUCCCACUUCCAUAAAGGAAUGGCUAUCUUUUGGACUAGCCCAGCGGGCUUUUGGGUUUCAACCUUCACUUGUUGGCAGUUAGGACACUAUGCCACAAACUCAGCAACGUCCUUCUUCAUCUCGUGCCACCAAUAGAUCUCCUUAAUAUCAUGGUACAUUUUCAUCGAACCAGGGUGAAUAGAAUAACGGGAAUGAUGUGCCUCUUCCAUAAUCUAAUGUCGAAGCCCUGCAACAUCCGGAACACACAAUCGAUCGCUAUAUCUGAGGACUCCAUCUCCUUCUAUAUCAAAUGCUAAAUACUGUUAAUCCUGAGCCUUGGCUCUGAGCUGCUCUAAGCUAGGAUCCUCAUGUUGACGUGUUUUUACCUCUACAACUAGAGAUGAUACGGCUGUGUCCUGAAUUGCGACCCCACUAUCAUCUACCUCUAACAAUUUGACUCCCACGCUAGCUAACUGAUGUAGCUCUCGCGCUACCUCACGUUUCUGAACACCUAAAUAGGAUAAACUACCCAUAGAUCUUCGACUGAAGGCAUCGGCUACCACAUUUCGCCUUUUCCUGGAUGAUAUAAAUAUCCACGUAGUAGUCUUUCAGUAACUCAAGCCACCGACGUUGUCGCAGAUUUAACUCCUUUUGUCUAAAGAUAUAUUGAAGGCUCUUAUGAUCUGUGAAGAUGUCAACAUGAACGCCAUACAAAUAGUAUCUCCAGAUCUUUAACGCAUGGACAACUGCAGCCAACUCUAAGUAGUGGUCGGAUAAUUCUUCUGAUGUUUCCUCAGCUGCCUUGAAGCAUAUGCGAUAACCUUACCAUGUUACAUUAGAACACAUCCCAACCCAACACUAGAAGCAUUGCAGUACACCGCAUAGCCCUCUUAACCCUCUAGCAAUGCUAGAACUGGUGCUGAUGUCAACCUGUCAUUCAACUCCUGGAAACUAUGCUCGCAAGCCUCAGUCCAUUGGAACUUAGCUGCUUUUUGAGUCAGCUUCAAUAGUGGUGCUGAAAGUGAAGAAAACUCCUCUACAAACCUUCUGUAUUACCCAGCUAAUCCUAAGAAACUACAAACCUUAGUCGGAGUCAUGGGUCUAGGCUAAGUCUUUACAGCCUCAAUCUUUUGUGUAUCAACCAUAAUGCCUGCAUCUGGUACAAUAUGGCCUAGGAAAGCCACAGAGCUCAACCAGAACUCAUACUUAGAGAACUUUGCGUAAAGUUCCUGCUCUCGAAGAACCUGAAGGACUGCUCGCAAAUGAUCUGCCUGCUCUUUUUUGAAUGCUAAUAGACCAAAAUAACAUCAAUAAAUACAAUCACAAACAUAUCUAGAUACGGAUGAAUAUACUAUUCAUCAGGUCCAUAAAAACUGCCGGGGCAUUGAUCAAUCCAAAAGACAUAACUAAAAACUCAAAAUGCCCAUAUCUAGUUCUAAAAGUUGUCUUCGGAACAUCUUUCUCUUGAACUCGUACCUGAUGGUACCCUGCUCUCAAAUCAACCUUCGAUAAGUACUUAGCACCUUGUAAUUAAUCAAACAAGUCAUCGAUCCUCGGAAGGGGAUAGCUGUUCUUUAUAGUAGCCUUGUUCAGCUGUCGAUAAUCGAUACACAUCCUCAGCGAGCCAUCUUUUUUUCUCACAAAUAAUACUGGUGCACCCCAUGAUGAAACACUGGCCUACUGGCCUGAUAAAUCCUUUAUCAAGCAAAUCUUUCAGCUGAUCAUUCAACUCCUUCAGCUCAGCAGGAGCCAUUUUAUAUGGAGGGAUAGAUAUGUGUUGUGUACCUAGUAGAAUAUCGAUAGAAAAAUCAAUUUCCUAUUCUGGAGGGAUACCAGGAAGCUCGUCUGGAAAUAUAUCUAGAAACUCAUUAACUACCGGAAUAGACUGAAGAGUCGGUGGUUUUGCAUCUAUAUCAUGAACGCGAACAAAAUGAUAAAUACAACCCUUAGUAAUCAUCCUCCUCGCUUUAAGAUAGGAAAUAAACCUACCUUUCUGUGUUGUUGUAUCGCAUUUCCAUUCCAGAAUUGCCUCUCUUAGAAAGUUGACUCUAACAUUUUUUGUCCGACACUUAACAUAAGCAUAACAAGACGCUAACCAGUCCAUACCCAUAAUGACGUCAAAAUCGACCAUCUCUAACUCUACCAGGUCUACAGAGGUCUGACAGUCGAUAAUUUCUACCGUGCAACCUCGAUAGACUCUCCUGCAAUAAUAGACUCAUCAAUUGGUGUAGAUACAAUAAAGGGUUAAUUUAAUGACUCUUUUACUAUACACAACUUCCCCGUAAUAAAUGGGGUAACAUAAGAUAGAGUAGAUCCAGGAUCUAUCAAAGCAUAAACACAAUGAGAGAAAACAAUUAAUGCACCUAUCACAACAUCUGGUGAUGACUCUGAGACCUGUCGGCCGGUUAGUGAAUAUGUACGGUUCUGGCCACUACCAGAACUAGAUGCUUCCUCUCUACCUCCGCAUUUGCCUCUACCUACUGAAGUUUAGGGUCCACGCCCUGUAGGCUGUGCUGAGGAGGAGGAACCUACUACUGACCCGGUCGACUGACCUAUACCACCCUGACCUAUGGUCGGGAAAUUCCUCCACAUAUGCCCCUGCUAUCCACAAGAAUAAAAACCUGUGGAACCAUUCCUGCACUUCCCGAAAUGCAUCCUACCGUAAGUAGCGCAACGCGGUGGUGCUGUCCUAGCCUGGCCUGAACCCCUCUGCUGCUGAGAGCCUGAUGCUUGUGAACCCUCACCUAGGCUUGACUGUCCCUGGAACUACUGUGGUGGAGCUCUAGGUGGCCUACUAGAAUAUUAGGGUCUGGGAGCACCCUAAAAAUCUCCCGGUGAACCAGCAGGCCUAUUCUUUUUUUGUCUCUCUAUUGACCCUCUCACUCAUAUAAUGUAGAUGUCGGCGAUCCUCUAUUACUUGUGCAAAGGCCAGAAUUCGCAAGAUAUCCAUAUUAUCAUUUAGUGCAGCGGUAGAACAAGUGCCGAUAUAGUCUGAGUCAAGCCCUCCCACAAAUCUACGCACCCUAUCGUGCAUCGUAUCAACAAAUGUUGGUGCAUAUCUAGCCAAUGAAUCAAAUCUCAGCAUGUACACUCAGACACUCAUGUUGUUGUUAUACCCCAUUUUAACUCAAAGUCAAAAUGUGUACAACAUAUUGGUGAUUUCCAAAUUAUUCACAAACUUGAGAAGUCGCCACCUAAUUAUUAUGGUGAAUUAGGGCACCUAUAACGAUUAAAGUCUAUCGUCUAAAGUUAACUUCAUUUUAAGGUAUGCUAAACAUGAGAUUCUAGGUAAGAGUUGUAGUUAUCCUAAAGGGAAGGGGUAAGUCAUCUUUUAAGAUUCGUUAAAGACGGUUACCGGUCAAACUUAGGUUAAUUAAUUAAACUAAAAAUUAGUGCUAAAGAAUUUGAAAAAAUCAUAAGUUGGAAAACAUUUUAACAUUAAAAAAAAACUCUUUUAUAUUUUGAAAGAAUUAACUUGCAUUUUUCUUUUUUGAAAACAAUAGAUAAUCACUUGUUAAGAAUGACAAUUGUUUGUACAAAAUUUGAUACCAAAAUGUAUACUAAAGAAAUAUGUUUGUCCAUGAAGUUAAUAUGCAUGCCUUUAAAAAGCAUUGUUUACACCUUGAAAUCGAUAACACAUUCUACACUUGAAAGACUCUUUCGACUUUAAAAAAAAUGACAGAGCUUUUCUAAAACAAAAUCAUUUGUUUAAAGUAACUUUAUUUUAUUCAAAAUUUAUUGCUAAAGAUCUGAAAAUAAUAAUGAUAAAAAUAUUUGUUUUUUGCAGAAGCAUUGUAAGGAAUUAAAAACUCCUUUAAGACAUUUGUUGUCAAAAAAAAAAAAAUCAUUGAAAAGUUUACCGAUGUCAAAAUUUAUUGCUAAAGAUCUGAAAAUAAUAAUGAUAAAAAUAUUUGUUUUUUGCAGAAGCAUUGUAAGGAAUUAAAAACUCCUUUAAGACAUUUGUUGUCAAAAAAAAAAAAUCAAUGAAAAGCUUACCAAUUUUCAACCAAAGAAAAACUUAAAAGCCUAAUGGAGACAUUUGACAUCCUUAAAAGUUCUUUCUUUUUUAUGACCGACACUAAAGACUUGCAAAAACCAAAAAAAAAAACUCUCUGUUAACGAAAAAAUAACCCACGACAAGCAAUCAAGGAGCAACAAAUAUCACAUGACAAAUGCUCACAAAUGUCACUUAAGGUAAAGCGAACAAAAGAUGACUAAAAAUUAUAAAAGAACACUUUUCCAGAUUUCCUUGUUGGAUGAGUUUUGAGGAUGUAAGAGGCACAAAAAUGUGAGAGGAUGUCGUUUUUAAUGUCUAAUGGCGGUGAGAGUCUUUCAUGAAGACUCCAUGUAGCUCCUAUUGCGGGGUAAUGAAUGGACGCUUGCGGUCGCCAAAUCACACUCAAACUCAACUACGCUUAGGUUCGAGAUUUUCGCAAAGAGAGUUGAAUACUUUGAGCUUUUAGAAAAUCAAAUUAAUGCAAAGGAAAACUAAAGUUUCAAGAGAAGAAGUCGUCAUUCGCUGUGCAGGGAUGAAGAAAAUUUAUUAAGAAAAUUUCCGCAAACAAAAAUCGUCUACCCCAAAAUGAUUGAAAGAGCAAGUAUUUUUUCAAAACUUAAAGCUUCUAGGCUUAGCAUUUGGGCGGGAUUUUUUCCAGAAUAGAGUCAAGAGACCCGUUUGAAUUUGAACGUUGCGAUUUGGAUGGGCUUGGUCCUUCAUGUGAUUGACAAGAUUGUAUCACGAAAAUAGGGUAGCUAAACUCGGCUCUAUGAUUAAAGAAUAGUGGAGUUUGUUGAAAAGAGGAAAAGGAUAGAAAGUAGAGGAAGAGGCGGAGGUGAUCUGCUGCUACGCUUGCUACUGUAGGGUUUAAAAAGAAGUUUAGGCUGGUGCUAAAUUUUCUUUGUGGGCUGAUCUGAAAGUUCCGUUGGGCCAUAUUUUGGAGCGGAUUUGGGCUCGUUUUUCUGGCCAAUUUUGGGCUGAAUUGGAAGGUCUUUUCUCUUCUUUCUUUGUAUUAUUUUGGGCUUCUAACUUAAUAAUUAAUACAAUAUAUAUUAUGAUAUGAUAACAACUAAAAAUUUACAUGAUAAAAAUAUCGCUAAUAUAUAUACAAAAUAUUGACUUAUAAUUAACUUAAUAAGUACGAAACUAGAAAUAAGGUGACGACAAUUGAUUAUUUAAGAAAAGAGGUGUAAAAAGUGAUAAUAAUCAUUUCAACAAUAAAACCUAUAAUUUUAGUAGAUAAAUAGUCGUAAUAGUAAAAAUAGUUGUGAAAAAGUUCAUUUGAUACAUUAUUAAUUUAGAAGCUCGAAAAUGAUAAAUUAGAAGAAAGGAGGGUCAAAAUUGGGUGUCAACAACUUGUCCCUCUUUGACCAAAGAUGAUGUAAGAGUUUUUGGGCAAAGAAGUUGACGUAGAAGCCAAUUUUGUCCCGAACAACAAAUACGACCUUAGGAGAGCAUGAGACAAUAUGAGCAUGGGAUAACUGAUGAGGUAGAGGAUUUUGAGAACAACGUAGUCGCAAGCUUACAACAGUUUCCCCAAUAUUGAAUUAUGAUGUUACUAGGUAUUGUGAUCGAGAAGAGUAUUUGGGAGUGGAGUCGAGCAGAGUUCGAGGUGGACCUUUGAUCUUUGUUGGAAAGCUAAACUUUCCCAAAAAAUUGCCCCAGUUCACUGCUUAGAUAAGGUUCCACAUUGCAUUGUGUCCCUUGUUGCUGCAUGUAGAUUGUGCUUUCUGCCAAAUCUUUACAAAAUUGUUAGGAAAUUAUAUAAAGCUUGAAAUAUAUAUAAAAAAAACAUCUUAUGAAAAAUGUCAUAAGAAAGAUGCGUCAUUUCUGAAUUAAUAUUCAAGAUGCGAUUAAUAGAGUAUAUUGCAUUUUCUUGAAUCAUAAAUAAUUGCUUCAGAUUAUGCGGCUGCAAAGUCUCGUUAGUAAAAGAGACAUAUAUAUAUGUAACUUAAUUUUUCAAGAAAUUUAAAAUGCUUGCAGUGCAUAAUAAAAAUAAUUAAGACAUUGCGCAAUAUCUCCUUAGAGACUGCUAAGCUUUCAAGAAAUUUAAAAGAUAGCAUGCAUUGCUCAUAUGUAUAAAAUGAAUAAUUAAGGCAUUACAAGAUGUCUCAUUAGAGACUAAUAUGCUUUUCAAGAAAUUUAAAAGAUAGCAUGCAGUGCAUAUCUAUAUUUAAAAAUAAAUAAAUAAUUAGAGCAUUGCGAGAUGCCUCAUUAGACACAGAUGAGAUUAAAAUGUCUUAUUGGAGGGCAGACUAACCCAACAUGUCCUAUUUGAGGGCAGUUGAACUCGAUAUCUUCUAUUUUAGGGUGAAUGAACCCAAAGUAUCCUAUUUUAGGGUGGAAGGACCCAAUGUAUCCUAUUUUACGGUGGAAGAACCCAAUGUAUCCUAUUUUAGGGUGGAAGAACCCGAUAUAUCCUAUUUUAGGGUGGAAGAACCUGUUAUAUCCUAUUAGAGGGUGGAAGAACCCGAUAUAUCCUAUUUUAGGGUGGAAGAACCUGAUAUAUCUUAUUUUCAGGUGGAAGAACCCGAUAUAUCCUUUUAGAGGGCGGAAGAACCCGAUGUAUCCUAUUAGAGGGUGGAAAAACCCGAUAUAUCCUAUUGGAGGGUGGAAGAACCCGAUGUAUCCUAUUUGAGGGUCGAAGAAUCCAAUAUGUCCUAUUUUAGGGUGGACUAACCCAAUAUAUGGUAUUUGAGGGUGGUAGAACUCGAUAUAUCCUAUUAGAGGGUGGAAAACCCCAACAUAUCCUAUUAGAGGGUGGAAGAACCCGAUAUAUCCUAUUAGAGGGUGGAAAAAGCCAAUAUGCGGUGCAAACUUACAAAUAUAAAUUUUGGUGCAAUGCGAUGAGCUUGGUGCGAUUUCUUUGCGGUAACAAACAUUCAGAAUCUAGUAUGAAGAACUUGUUGCAGUGCCUUUGCAGUAUUGAAUAAUUAAGGUACGGUGCCUAGUGCAAUACUUCGCAAUAAUGCAUAUGUUGCCCAUAACUUAGGAGCUUCAAUUUCAAUGAAAGUUUGCUGCUUAUAAAUUCUGCACUCAAAGAAAAAUUAUGAAUUUCAAAUUUGAUUCUAGUUGAUGUUGCACCAUCUGAAUCUUGCAAAUUUUGUCUUGAUGUUGAGCCUUGUGGUGUUAUCAUUCAAGGAUAACAAAAAUUCAACCUCUACAUUACUCAAAGAAAACUUGUUAGUAUAAAAGAAAAUGGCCUUGCAUUGAACCAUGAAGCUUUUGCUUUGAAUCUGCAUUUCUUGUUGCUAUGGCAUUGAAGCGACUUGAUGAUGUGGAUAUGGCUUGUGAUCUCAACUUCUGCCUUUUCAAAUAAUUAUAGGCCAUCUAUAAAGUUGUCCCAGUCUUUUCUCUUGGGAGAGAAUGGAAUUUUAUUAUGUUGAGAUCGAACCCAGAAUAGGCGCCUACUUAUCCCGCUAUUAACAGGAAUCAGGUCAUACAUAGUUCAUUACAAAAGGGUAGAAAGGAUUGUAAAAGGGUAUAUAUUUCUUAAAAAGGAAAAGUUGCAGAGAUAAUGUCUUUGUUAGUCUUCUUGACUAGUUGCAUGCUUUCUUUUCAACUGCUUUGGUGCCAAUUUCAAUGGAUCACCCUUAACAACAAUUGUGCUUAUGAUAUUGCCAUUACUGGUUGAAGGAUAUAUUUGUAGCUUUAUCUUGCCACUUUCAAUCAUGCUUUGAAUCUUGAAUUUUAUGGCAGGACAACCUUCUGUAUCAUGUCCCUGAAUGUUCGAGUGGUAAGCACAAUUCUUGGUGGAUCAAAGUGUUUAGGUGUAUACUCAGGAAUGAAUCCUUUUCUUGAUUGCAGAUGCCCAUUUGCUCUCAAUCUCUCAAAUAGAUGCAUAUGGCUCAACCAAAGGAGUGAAGGAGAAAUGUUUCACCUUCUUCUGGUGGUCACAAGCUAGAUUGUGUUUGGUGCAACUGUUGUUUGCAAGGAUGGUGGAGACGUGCAUUGCAGUAGUUGGAAGUAGCAUGAGAUUGCAAAAAUUGAUCACUUGGAUAGCAUUGCAGCUGUUCCAUAGUCAUGAAAAUUGGGUUGUUUUCUCUCAUCAGAUUUACAAGUAUUUUCGCUUGGAAGGUUUGUUGGACAACUUUUGUUGCUGAGUUGCUUACAAUUCUUCCUCCUUGAAUAUUAUUUUCUAUAACAUCUCGCACCUAGAAACGACUAUAAAGAGUUUAAAAUAUGAAAAUAUUGAUUUUUGGAAAGAAUAAGGAAAGCUGAAAAUUUUGUCUAAGUUAAGAAAGUGAGUUUUGGCCAUUUUCAAACGGCCAUAACUCCUAGCUCAGGAUGAGUUAGGAGCAGAUCUUGAUAUGGUUGGAAAUCCCUUGUAGAGAUCUUUCCAACGCAGCCAAGUUUGUGCGAUUUUGACAACGUAUGAGUGAGUUAUGCCCUUCAGAAGUUGGGCUGUUGGAUUGAGGAAAGUCCAAAUCUGGAUUUAAGGAAGGGCAAACUAGUCUUUUCUCUAAUUAAUUUCCUAAUUUAUUUUUAGGGGUUUAUUGGGGUAAAAACAGAACUUAAUUCAGUUUUGGAAAUUAGAAUACGCUUAGGGCUUGGAGAAAAGAGAAAAGAAGAAAGGGAGAAAAGCCAAGAUUUCGCCAAGAACGUCAAGCGUUUGGAGUGGAAUUCGUCGGGCACGUCCCCUGUAAAAGUAUGUGAGAUCUUUUCGUGUUGGGUUAGUUCACCCACACACCACUUGUUUCAAUUCAGUGAUUUGGUGUUGUUUACUUGUUAAGAAGUGAAGUUCUUGAAGAACAUUGUUGAAUUCUUGUUGGUUGAUUGUGAUUGCCUAUUGUUGAUUUAACUCGUGUUUUCGGGUUGUUUUUCGAGUUAAAUCUAUUGGGUAUUGAGGGUACUAAUGUGUAACGACCCGAGAGCACCCCCUAGUCGUAACAUGGCGUACUCGACCCCGAAUGGAUCUCAUACAAGCCACAUAGUCAUUCAUUGCAUUCAAUAAUGAAAAUGGUGCAGAAGCAAAAACUAAUUUAAAACCCAAACAUUCAAACUUCAUUAAAACAACUUUAAAAAGACAUAGCGGAAGUCUAAGUCUCACAUGGCCAUCUUAGACACAAUCUCAAAACAUAAUUAGGGACACAACCCCUUACAAUCAAAACAAUAACUAAAAGUGUCCAUUACAUGAACAAAAGAAACUUAAAAGUCUUGUCCUCGAAUCCAUGAGGACAUACUAAGUCUUGGAGGAAGGCAAUCCAACACUUCAAACUAGCUAGGAGGAAUCACUUGCCGGAACCUACACUUGUAGUAAAAAUAUGAAGAAUAUGGAUUAGUACACAGAAAUGUACUAAGUAUGAUGACUAUGCAAAACAUGCCUAAAAAAGGACUUUUUGGUUAGAAACCAUGCAUUAUGCCACUUUUCGAAAUAUCAUGAACAAUUGCAUAAAAGACAUACAAGACAAGCCUAAUCAUCAUAUAAGUCACAAUACCACACUUUAACAAUAUCAACAUGAAAACCUUCACCUUUACCUUGGACCUUCACCUCAAGCAACCCUUAUGCUAUACCUUGUGCAAUGGAUGGAUAGCGUCCCAUACCACCAUCCAUACUAGUACCACAUUUAGGUCACCUAAAGUAAACUCAUCAUUCCUUUCUUUUCACCUUUGCACAAUAUUCAUACAAAAGCGAUAUAUCAUUUAAUAAGGUAUAACAAGGGAAAAUAAUUCAUAAUAUAACCCAAGUAUAGCAUGCAUAACAAAUUAAGCAUUUGAGAGCCAACAUUCUUUAAUAACCUUAUCUAGGGCACAUUCAUGUCACAGUCAUUAGGAUUUAGAGAAACUCACUAUGACCCUCUCCAAGCCUACUCGUGCAAUGUAUAGGUAGCAUCCCAUACUACUACCUACACUUCGUAGAACCUGUCAAGAAACCAUAAUGAAAUCUCACAUGAUGGGAAGUAAGCAUUAACCGACAUAGACCAUGAGAGCUUGUCAUGGAAUCCGGUGUCAUAAGUCCCCACACCGUAAAGAGGUGGUCUACUUGCCUAAGGAAGACCGGUAUAUAGCUUAAUGGAUCCACUAGCUACCUAUGCGGGCACAUAGUUUAUGGGAUAAGGUAGACGAUCAUUGAAACUCAUGCCUAACCAUUGGGGGAGUUUCCAUCUAACCAAAUCCGCUCGGUGCUUAGCCUACAUUCCCAUAGAAUAGUUCAUUACUUUGACAUCAUCACACAUGAAAGGGUGCCAUAAGCCUACCGAUUCAAGGUACAUUUAGGAAAGCUCAUUAACUCCACUUGAAAGGGUGCCAUGGGCCUGCCGAUUCAAGUCUCAUCAUUAACCUUUAUGGAAAGGUGCCAUAGGCCUACCGAAUCCAAGGUUCAUUACUUAUCAUUAAUGGAAGGGUGCCAUUAGCCUACCGAUCCAAGGAUUCAACAAUCAACAAUAUAAUCAUUUAUACAAGAAAAGGAUGCACAAGUUCUACCAAUUCGAGACAUACAAUAUAUAUUGAAGAAUCUUUCAUAUCCUAUCAUCAACAUUCAUGAGUGUCAAAUUGAGAAAAAACCUUUCAAUAAUAACACAUUUAUAGUCAUAACAUGAUCUCAUUAGCUCCAUUGAAUUCCCAUUCAUACAAUGUCAUGAUAACACUUCAAUUUCUCAUACUAUGCCUUCAAGGACAUGGUCACAAUGUACAUAACAAGUAAACACCUCCACCUUUCAAGUGGAUCAACCUCAAGUUAACAAUUCUAAUUCAACAAGUAGCUUCUCAUAUCUUUUCCUUCAAGGCCAUAAACUUCACAUACCAAUAUACCAACAAUACACCAUAAGGUAAGCAUGGUAAUGACAUACUUCAACAAUCUAAAGCCAUUUAAACAAGUUCUAUUCAUAUACCCCCACUUCAUAAAGGCACAAACUAGGAAUAGAGAGAAAUUAUGGGUUCAUAGAGUAUUUUCAUCUUAAAUCACCAAUACAACAACAAUAUAACAACAAGAUGCCAUUAGAAGCCUUUUAAAACCAUUUGGUGAAAGAACCCAUGAGAUUGAGUAAAACCCUAGGUUUUCAUAAACUUGAAAUCUUUAAAAGUUUACUUUUAAGUUGACUCUAGGGUGAAAGCUAACCCUAGAUGAAUGGUCACCAUACCUUUGUUAAGACUUCCUAAGAAAUUUAAUGAAGAAAUCCUUGAAUCCAAAACCCUAGCUCCCACUCCUUCUUCUACCUUGAGUUAGAGAGAAAUAUAGAGAGAGAGAACUUUGGGAUUUGAUUUGGGGAAAAAUAAUAAGUGAGUGACUUGUUUAAAAAACUUAAAACCUUAUAUAAUUAUCAUGUAAAUCAUUUAAAACAACCCCACAUAAUAAAACAAUUAAAAUGAAAUUACCAAAAACCCCCAACUUGAGGCUACCCGUCAGGGACCACGCCCAUCUAAACGGGUCGUGAGGGGCACCACGGCUCGUUGUGGUGCCCGUGAUCCUUGAGGUAGUGUGCCUCCCAUCCUUGCCAAGCCCUCCAAGACCAAGACAAGUCCACGGAAGCUCCCACGAUCCGUGGUUCACACCACGAGUCGUGGUGAAGCUCGUGGUCAUGGGGCAGCGCCUAGGCAAAGUUGCCUUGCCUCCCUUGAGCCUAAGUGAACUCCAAGUUCGCUUUCACGGACCGUCUAGGGCACUACGGCUCGUGGUGGUGCCCGUGAACUAAGGGACAGUAUCUCCCUCAACUUGCAACAUCUCCCACCAAGUUAAGGCAAACCCUACGAUCCUUCCCACGGCCCGUGGUCAUUACCACGAGUCGUGAAGUGGCUCGUGAAGGGGUGCCUUGGCUUGGCACCAAACUUGAGCAUGCUGCCUUGUCACCACGGGUCAUGAAGACCCUCGUGGUCUAGGGAGGCAGUAGUUAGGACUAGUUUUAGGUAGCCUAGGUUCCCAAACCAUGGCCUACACCUAAAACCCUUAGCACUUGCCCUUAACUCAUGACAUUAACCCCACAGUAAGGCUCUAGUUUAACCUAUCAUUUUCCGAGUCUUUACAUAAUGGUCCUAAGUGUUUGGGGAAAGAACCAUAGAAGUUUAGAGGGUUUUACAGAUGAAAAACGAAGGAGAAAAAUUGGAGUUUGCUGGGCAAGGGGUUGGGGCGCCGCGCCUCUCAGAGCGGUCCACUUCAGAGUCUGAAGUUUGGCCUCUGAGGCGACGCGCCAGCUAGAGCGCCACAACUUCACCUCUGAAGUUUGUGCUCUAGCACCCCACGCCUCUCAGAGCGCCAAGGACACCAGUGCACCCCAUCCCUCCCCCAUCUUUUCGUACUUGUUCCUAAGCGAUGUACCUAUGUUUUCUAAGUUGAUUCCAACACUCUAAGGUACAUUUAAAUAUAAUGAAAUCAUCCAUAAACAUGAGAUCAUGAACCUUGAAUCCAUAAUCCAAUUCAAAGGAAAGUUAAGAUCAAAGUCAAAGAAGUUAAGAGUCAAGUCUAGAAGUUAAGAAGCAAGUCAAAGAAAAGUUUCUUAAAGUUUUCAAAGAGUCUUUAACAAUGUUUUAAAUUCAUUUUAAGACUCAAGUUUUCAAGUUAAGGAAAGAGUAAAGAGUGGAGUUCAUUCCUCCAAAAAGCUAUUAGGGAACUAAGUAUUCCCAAAGAAGUUUAUAAAUAUUUUCACAUUGAGCAAGAAAGGGGAACAUCGAUUUCAAGAGAGCUUUUAAGCUAAGUUUUGAGCAAUUACCUCAAUUCAAAGAAAGAGUUUUGUUUUUACAAACAUACGAGUUAAGUAUAUUUUUGGAGUAGUAUUGAGCACCGAUACGCGGAUGCGAGUUCAUAUUAGCUCAAGUCUCCAUAAACCAUGUAGUCAUCAUGGGUAGUAAAGGAUCAUACUUUUAGAUGACACCUUAAGAUGCUUUUAGCAUAGACUAGUGGAUCCACUAAGUUAAACGUUCUAUAUGACGGCAAAGUAUAGGAAAGUUCUGGCAGCGUGGGCAAGACGUUAUAUCACCACUUAGGCUCAUAGUGGUGGUUGUCGGUUAGAUAGUCUCCCACAAAAGUUAUAUUACUUUAUAUAUAUAUAUAUNNNNNNAUUCCUUCUUACUCUUUUCAAGAUUAAGUUGUUGUUUAGCAUUCCAACUCGCAUACUCGUACAUUCAAUGUACUGAUGCCAGUUGGCUUGCAUCGUCUUAUGAUGCAGACGCAGGUAACCAGGAUUAGCAUCCAGCACCUCGUUGAUCCAGUUGAACACUCAGAGUCAGUGGUGAGCCUCUUUGCAUUCCAGAGGACUCUUUUAUUCGCUUUCUAGUUUAGUUUAUUAGGAUGCUGAGGGGUUUUGUCUCAACAUCCAUCUCAGUUGUUUAGAGGCUUCAUAGACAGUUAGUAGUUCAAUUGUCUUUACAUUAUCAUUCAGAUGUUGUUUGAAGACUGAGUUGUCAUUUUGGCUAAACUAUUAUUUCUUAAGUUGUGUAUGAGUUAUAUUUUCUUAUGUUUAAGUCUUCCGCUGAGUUAAGUAAGCUAGGACAAGGGUUCGCUUGAGGCCAGCAAUGGCCUUCGAGUGCCAGCCACGUCCAGGAUGUAGGCUCGGGUCGUGACAUUUUCAAUCUCUUUGCCAACCUUAAUCAAAUAAGAGAAGUUGUGUGCACAAGUUCCAAG